rnacentral:other from 1 species
UAAUACCUGCUAGGUGCGUUGUCCCUUGUUUUUUUAACCUACACAUGCAUUACGGGAGCAACGGAUCCGGUUGUUUAUGCCAGGCCGCCCUGGCGAGCGGAAGGCAGAAGCAACUGGUCGGGCACCCACCUGGGAGAGGUGGGUUGAUUAAAAAACUGGUGGAUAACGGCCCGGUGGGAGAACA